rnacentral:rRNA from 1 species
AGUGAACGCUGGCGGUAGGCCUAACACAUGCAAGUCGAACGGCAGCACAGUAAGAGCUUGCUCUUACGGGUGGCGAGUGGCGGACGGGUGAGGAAUACAUCGGAAUCUACUUUUUCGUGGGGGAUAACGUAGGGAAACUUACGCUAAUACCGCAUACGACCUACGGGUGAAAGCAGGGGAUCUUUUGACCUUUUGCGAUUGAAUGAGCCGAUGUCGGAUUAGCUAGUUGGCGGGGUAAAGGCCCACCAAGGCGACGAUCCGUAGCUGGUCUGAGAGGAUGAUCAGCCACACUGGAACUGAGACACGGUCCAGACUCCUACGGGAGGCAGCAGUGGGGAAUAUUGGACAAUGGGCGCAAGCCUGAUCCAGCCAUACCGCGUGGGUGAAGAAGGCCUUCGGGUUGUAAAGCCCUUUUGUUGGGAAAGAAAAGCAGCAGGUUAAUACCCCGCUGUUCUGACGGUACCCAAAGAAUAAGCACCGGCUAACUUCGUG